UAUAUCGUAUAAUAGUAUAAUACAUAUUAUUAAUUAAUAUUAUAUUAAUAACUCUCACAAGAAUCACGCAUCGAACCGUACCAUCCAUUGACGCCGAUGUACAAGCCUAAUUGUAAUAUAGAAUUCGCGUCUUCCGGAUUGCCGUCGAACGAAUGUACGACGCCUGAGGUCAGCACGUUUUUGUGCUUCCUCAGAAUUCGCACGAAGUCGUCGCUAGCAUUGCGGCAGUGUAGGAACAUUGGUAACUUCAGCGUGGAACACAGCGAUAACUGCAUCUCAAAGUACUUUUUCUGGGUUUCCUUGGAGCAGAAAUUCAAUCUGUCAUAAUCCAGACCCAUCUCGCCGAGGGCGACGACCUUGUCCUUGUUGUUUAGCGCCAGAUCCGACAGCGAUUUAAGGAGACACACGAAGAUGCUAAAAAGGGAAAGUUUGUCAAAGAGUGCGAAAAAAUUACGAAAUUCACAGACUAUCGAUCAGAAACGAGUCUAAUUGCAUCGUUAUAAUAACCUUUACACGCGAGGGUGUGCGUGACGCCGAGAUUUGACAUUCUAGCUCCGAGCAUAGGAUAUGCUCCCGCGUAGAAUUAACGGAGCCCGAGGAGUCGAGGAUAAACGGAGAGGUUAGCAAGUGUCCCCUCGUUUAACCGGCUCAGCGAAUUGACACAUGGAUGCGAGGCCAGACGCUUGGGGAGGACUGAUGACAUUUGCGCCUACAUGCGCAGUAACGUCCGUUUCGAAGGCGAUCCUCGUCGUCGCAUAACAUCGAUCUAACUGCUGAUGCGACUAGGCGAAUCCUGAUUCCUUCCGCUUUUUUUUCCUUUCAUUAUAAAACGACGAAUGUCGUUUAUGUUUAUAUGUCAGUUUAGCGAGGAAAUUGAGAGAUCUCUCUAUGCGCAGAUUUUAUCCAAAAUUUCUACUUUUACAAUAUUUGCAAUUUUUCCACUA